rnacentral:rRNA from 1 species
GCGAGUGCAAGCAAAUCCCAGAAAUAAGUCUCAGUUCGGAUUGUAGUCUGCAACUCGACUACAUGAAGCUGGAAUCGCUAGUAAUCGCGAAUCAGAAUGUCGCGGUGAAUACGUUCCCGGGUCUUGUACACACCGCCCGUCACACCAUGGGAGUCAGUAACGCCCGAAGUCAGUGACCCAACCCUAACCCGGAGGGAGCUGCCGAAGGCGGGACCGAUAACUGGGGUGAAGUCGUAACAAGGUAAC